GUGUUUGCUUCGGCAGCGCAUAUACUAAAAUUGGAACGAUACAGAGAAGAUAGCAUGGCCCCUGCGCAAGGAUGACAAGCAAAUCCGUGAAGCAUUCCGAAAUAUG
rnacentral:snRNA from 1 species